GCUCCAGGCAAUGGCAUCCAGGUGGCCAGACAGGCCAGUCCUGGCACAGGGUCUCUUACCACACCCCAUAGCUUGCUCAACUCUAGAGUAAUACUCCAUGAGGAAGAUCCUUGGGCUUCUUUGUCAGGAACCAUAAUGGAACAAGCAAGGUUGAACUUUCCGUGAUGUGGGCAGCGGUGGCCAAGGAAGGAGGUGAGCAGUGUGUCUGUCUAGAGACCUGCUGAGUUGAUGGAAGCUUUUCCUGUCUGACCUGCCCUUGAAAAGGACUGUCUGUGAGCUGAUGACUUGGGGAGAUGGGGCUGAGAGGACAAUGGGAAAAAAUGUGCAGACCUGUAGGGGAAACCCAGGGGAUGAAGGCCAAGGCUGAAUGACAGCUACAGGAAACCAACAGUGGAUGUCAGAGGCGACAGAAGCCAGGGUCUAUCCAUGGAGAGGGCUGGACACAACUCUCUACUGCCUCUGCCUCAUCCCCUCUCUUCCCCGUGGCUCGGGAAGAUGGGCGAGCCAGGAAGAUCAUAAUUUAUUUCUCUAGAAAAAAGAAAAGAAUUCCCUUGGGAAAUCUGCAGCUCCGUGAGCCAGAGGAGGCUCUGGCUCCUCCCUCACGGUGUCUGCUUCGGGAAUGAGUUUUCUCGGAGAUCCUCAAGAGGCUGGGUUCUGACUCCUCACCAGACCUUUGGGUUGGUACAGGACCAAAGCCCACGUUACUGGGUCUUUAUAAUUAUACACUUGUAUAACUUGUAGAACAGCCCACAACAUCCUUUGUUGCAUAUUUAUAGUGAGUUGUGUUUCAUACGAUCCUGAAUAGUCUGGAAUUCCAUAAAACAAAGUGGACGGAAUGAAUGCUUCUCUAACACACAGGAACCAACAAAUAGGAUUGGCAGAGGGCACCUGCUAGCAUUAAAGUAACAGAAGAAUAAUUGUGGGAGUGUUUCAGAGCAGGGUGCCCUCUGUGCCUGGAAUCAGGGGGACCUUUGCUUUGGGUUUAUUGGUGAAGGAACUUGGGAACCUGGGAUCCCUGCUAAUCUCUCUAAUCUAAGAAUGUGGAGUGUCUCAGUGCAACUCUGCUUAAAAAUAGCUAGAGUUCACUCUGCAUGUGUGCAUGCAUGUGUGCUACGUGCAUGUGUGCGUGCUGUGUGAAUGUGUGCACGCAUAUGUGCUGUGCAUGUGUGUUCAUGCCUGUGUGGGUACACACAUGUAUGCACAUGUAAAGGCCAGCACUUAAUCUAGUGUCUUCCUCAACUGCUUCCCACCUUGUUGUAGACUUACUUGUUUGCUUGUUUUUAGAGAGCCCCUCACAAGCCCUCAAGGUCUGGCUGUUACCAUCCCUCCUAUGCUGGGCUUAUAGGCACAUGUCACCAGGCCUAGGUUUGUCAUUGUGGGUCCUGGGGCCCAAACUCAGGUCCUUAUGCUUGCAUGGCAAACAUUUUACUGACUGAGCUAUUCCACAGCCCUAUUCCAGUUCACCGGAAGGCUUUGUUUGCACUGGGCAUCUAGUAAAGUCAGGAGAAGGAUAGGCCAAACACGAACAGUGACACGUCCCUAUCAGUUCUUAUGAGAGGUUGUUCAAAGCCAUCGCCAAACUAUGACAAAUCUCAUUCAUUGAAGGGAUGUCUAUGUGUCUCUUUAGAUAAAAAGUGCUGUCUCCUUGGCCAUUUUGCAGACAUGCUCCUCCCUCUGCUUCCCUGCUCAUACCUUCUGGUGUCUCUGUAGGGAAAGCUGCUAUCCGGUGAAUUAAAAUAAGCAGUGUGUGUUUGAAGAGAUUGGUAAGGGGAAGACUGUUCCGAACAGAUGAACACCUUUGUGCUCCUCAGGCUCUAAGGCAAGGACCAUUUUCUUCAGUCAGAGACAGGAUAGCCAAAGAGGGACCAAGCAGGUUAGAGGGUCACCUAGUGCAACCCCAUUUCACAGGGGUGACAUUAC
rnacentral:lncRNA from 1 species